UACGUAGGGGGCAAGCGUUGUCCGGAUUCAUUGGGCGUAAAGAGCUCGUAGGCGGUUCAGCAAGUCGGGUGUGAAACCUCCAGGCUCAACCUGGAGACGCCACCCGAUACUGCUGUGACUUGAGUCCGGUAGGGGACCACGGAAUUCCUGGUGUAGCGGUGAAAUGCGCAGAUAUCAGGAGGAACACCGGUGGCGAAGGCGGUGGUCUGGGCCGGAACUGACGCUGAGGAGCGAAAGCGUGGGGAGCGAAUGGG
rnacentral:rRNA from 1 species